rfam:Leptolinea tardivitalis strain YMTK-2 contig_1, whole genome shotgun sequence.
GGGCCCGUAGCUCAGCGGCAGAGCACGGGGCUCAUAACCUCUUGGUCGCUGGUUCGAAUCCAGCCGGGCCCA